GGUUCCAUAGUGUAAUGGUUAGCACGGCUGCUUUACAUGCAGAAGGUCCUGGGUUCAUGCCCUAGUGGAGCCA
rfam:Pteropus alecto contig105748, whole genome shotgun sequence.